UAAAUAAAAUUAUAUGAUGAGUGUGAUAGUUAAAUAGUAAAAAAUUAAAAAAUUUUUAAAAUGAUAAAUUUUAGUAAUGUAAAUGAAAAAUUUAGGAUAAUUUAAAUAGGAUUUUGUUAGUCAUACCUUUUGUAUCAGGGUUUAUAAAAUAAAUAUUAGAUUAAUAAAAAUAUUUAGAAUUUUAAAGAGUUAAAAAAUUAUAAAAUUUAAUGUUAAAUUAUUAUUUUAAAUAGUUAAUUAGAGAAGAUAUUUCAUUCGAUUUAAAAGAUAUCUAAUUUUUUUAGAAAUAAGUAUUAAUUUAUUUAUAAAUAUAUAUUAAAAAAUAAUUGUUUUUUUAAUGUAAUUUAUAAAAAAUAAUUAUGGGUUAAUCUAUAAUUAAAUUUAAAAUAAAAAUUAUAAAAUUAUAAAUAAGGAUAGUCUUAAAAUUUGAUUUUUUUAUAAAAAAUUUAAUAAUUUAUAAAAUGAUUUUUUUAAAAAAUAUUUAUAUUUUUAAAAUUUAAUUAUAUAUAAAAAUAUUAAUUUAAAUUAUAAAAAUUAGGUAAUAAUGAUAGAAUAAGUAAAUUUUAAAUAAAAUAUUAAAAAUAUAUUAAAAAAUGAAAAUAAGUUUAAGUAAUUAGGCAAAAAAUUAAUUCAUCUGUUUAACAAAAACAUUUCAUUUUGAAUAUAAUAUAAAGUAAGUUCUGCUCAAUGAAUAAUUAUUUAAAUAGCUGCAGUAAAUUAACUGUACUAAGGUAGCAUAAUCAAUUGUCUUUUAAUUAAAGACUAGAAUGAAGGAAUUAAUGAGAUUAAGACUUUCUAAAGAAUUAAGUUUUGAAAUUAUUUAUUAAGUAAAAAUACUUAAUAGAAUUUAUGGGACGAGAAGACCCUAUAGAAUUUAAUAUUUAUGUAUUAAUUUUUUAAUAUUUAAGUGUUUUAUUGGGAGGAUAAUUAAAUUUAAUAAACUUUAAUUUAUAUAUUACAUAAAUUAAUGAAUUUAAAAAUAAUUGAAUAAAAUUUUAUUAUUAUAGAAUAAAUUACCUUAGGGAUAACAGCAUAAUAUUUUUUUGUAGCUCAUAUAUAAAAAAGUGUUUAUGACCUCGAUGUUGAAUUAAAAUUUAAAUUAGAAGGAGAAUUCUAAAUUUUAAGUCUGUUCGACUUUUAAAAUUUUACAUGAUUUGAGUUCAGAUCGGUGUAAGCCAGAUCGGUUUCUAUCUAUAAAAAAAUUAAAUAUAUUUGUACGAAAGGAUUGUAUAUUUUAAAAAAUUUAAUUUAGUUGAAUAAUAAUAAUAAUUA
rnacentral:rRNA from 1 species